CUUGCUAACCUUUCAGGAAGUGGUCACGUAAACCACAGAUGGCCUUAUAGGCCCAUAGCAAGA
rnacentral:tRNA from 1 species